CAGUCUCAAUCUGCCCGGGAGAUAUGAAAUGAAUAUGAGCAUCAAUCCCACCCGCAGUUACUAUUUUUCCCUCUGCAGCAAUUACUUCUGUAGAAGCACCAAUAACAAUAUCAACAUUGUCCAUCAAUAGUGGGUUCCCCGCUUUUCCAAUAGCAGUAAUAUAACCAUCCUUCACCCCAAUAUCAGCUUUAUAAAUGCCUGUAUAAUCGAGAAUAAUAGCAUUGGUGAAAACUAAGUCGACACUCUCAGCUCUAGUCGCUAAGGGAUGCUGCCCCAUUCCAUCUCGG
rfam:Bacillus subterraneus strain MITOT1 contig_27, whole genome shotgun sequence.